rnacentral:rRNA from 1 species
GACGCUGGCGGCGUGCCUAAUACAUGACAAGUACGAGACGGAAUGAUGAAGAAGUCUUGCUUCUUCUGUAUUUUAGCGGCGGACGGGUGAGUAACACGUGGGCAACCUACCUUGUAGAUUGGGAUAACUCCGGGAAACCGGGGCUAAUACCGAAUAAUCCAUUUUGCUUCAUGGCGAGAUGUUAAAAAGGCGGCUUCGGCUGUCACUACGAGAUGGGCCCGCGGCGCAUUAGCUAGUUGGUAGGGUAAUGGCCUACCAAGGCGACGAUGCGUAGCCGACCUGAGAGGGUGAUCGGCCACACUGGGACUGAGACACGGCCCAGACUCCUACGGGAGGGCGGCAGUAGGGAAUCGUUCCACAAUGGACGAAAGUCUGAUGGAGCAACGCCGCGUGAGUGAAGAAGGUUUUCGGAUCGUAAAACUCUGUUGUAAGGGAAGAACACGUACGAGAGUAACUGCUCGUACCUUGACGGUACCUUAUUAGAAAGCCACGGCUAACUACGUG